CCCACCAUGUCUGAACCGGGUUCUGGCUGUGGCGUUCCAGUCCAGAGAAGCUCACAGCAUGGUCCAGAAGUGGUGUCACUGGAGGACUGCGGUCAAACACUGGAACUCAAUGUGAUUGUCAAAAAGGAGGAGAAGGGAGAUGUUAAAGAAGAAAAGGGCGGAAAUCAAAGAAGAUAAGGAAGAGGGGGAGAAGAGAGAGGUUCAAGUCGAAGAGGAGAGAAAUGCUGAUAUGGCUCCUCCAGGGACCGGGGAGGAAGCACCAUAACUCCAAAACAGUGGAAAGACUGGUCCUAUGCAAGAUGUCAUCCGUUUUACCAGUUUUAAGGAAAUGACAAACUGAGAAAACGACGAAAGACGUCGGUUGGUGUUUGGUGAUGAGCAUGUUUGGGAUGCUCUGGAUCGACGUGUACGACAGCGUGUAAUGGUUGGAAUGGAAUAAAUGGAACAUUAUCCAACAUAUGGAAACCACAGGUUAGACUGUUCCCUUUAUUCCAUUCCAGGAGGUCUCCUCCAGGGUGAUAUUGCCCCUAGCUACAGAUCUAGGAUCAGCUUCCCCAAUCCCAACUGUGACCAUUAGUGUGGAAAAUGCCAUACUGGCCCAAGAUCAGAUUCUUGGGCUAACAAUCUACUCCAGUACGCCACAGCAGGUCUCUGUCGUGCUACGCUUCCAGACAAUAAUGUCACGGAGAGGUUUUGGUAGUUUGUGGACCUAAAGGAUAAAACGGCCGCCGGUCUCACCCAAGGCAGUCAAGGACUCGCUGGAGCCACUGAAUCUGGAGCGCAAGCUGAUUGGUCAGACGUACGACGGGGCUGAACGUACGCGACCUGGACACUCACCUGAAACGCACCUAUCCCAGCGCUAACUCUGUGCCCUGCUACGCUCACCCGCUACGCGUCACACUCCAGCAGAUCUGCUCGGCGACAGCGAACCAACUCAAAUGUGUUUUUUUUUGCGGAUUUGUCUUUGUUUUGAAACUUUCUUCAAAGAUCAGCCAAAGAGAGCUACAGCUGCAGGGUGGAACUGUGAGCGAGAAACGGUCAGUGUGGUUUGGGAGAAUCGCAUUGCUCUUCAGAAGUGUGUGGAGGAUAUUAGGACACAGCCGAUGUGGGACCAGGACUCUAUCAGAGAGGCUUACGGCCUGUCAGCCAAACUCAGGGACCCCACGUUCCUACAACUACUGGAAUUUUUCUAUUUGGUCAUGCAAGAGGUGGAUGUUCUCACUGUCAACAUACACAAAAGGGACGUUGUCGUGGCGGACAUCGAACAGGCAGUUGAUAGUUUCGAGAAAAGUUCGUUCAAGCCCAACAGGGGAGAGCUGAGGCCACAGCACACGUAG
rnacentral:lncRNA from 13 species